GUACUCAUUAGGUGGGUGCUUAUAUCUGUCCUGUCUUACACAUGGGGGAGUGGCAGAGUACAGGUAAACAGUACUCAUUAGGUGGGUGCUUAUAUCUGUCCUGUCUUACACAUGGGGGAGUGGCAGAGUACAGGUAAACAGUACUCAUUAGGUGGGUGCUUAUAUCUGUCCUGUCUUACACAUGGGGGAGUGGCAGAGUACAGGUUAACAGUACUCAUUAGGUGGGUGCUUAUAUCUGUCCUGUCUUACACAUGGGGGAGUGGCAGAGUACAGGUUAACAGUACUCAUUAAGUGGGUGCUUAUAUCUGUCCUGUCUUACACAUGGGGGGGGGGCAUAUCCCGUUCUCCCUGAGACGCCCUCGGAGAGUGAGGUCAAAGCCAGGGCCCUGGAGAAAUGAGUGUUAAGUGCCUUGCUCAAGGGCACAUCAACAGAUUGUUUUCACCUUGCCGGGGUGGGGAUUCAAAGUAGCAACCUUAUGGUUAAUGGUCCAAUGAUCUAACCGCUGGGACAGUGGUUCCCAGCCUUCUUCGGUUACUGUACCAUCGACUGAAUUUAGCUCUGCCUGGAGUACCCCUGAAGUACCCCCUUGUGCAUUUUACCAAAAGGCCUAUGGUCUCAUGAGUCUUCUCAAGUACCCCUGGGGGUCCUUGUACCCCUGGUUGGGAACCCCUGCACUAGCCUACCUUCCGCCCACACUAUAGAAAUACAGUAUCCUUUCAGUUUUUCUGACAGUAACAAGCAAGCACACACAUUUUCUUCACAAAAUGUUCAUUUAGUAGUUAGCUCUGGUCUGUUUAGUACAAAACUGUAGAUGAUGUCGAAGACCUAAGAAAUCAAUGUGCCUGAUCAACCCAAU